AGUAAAGUACCUAUUUAGGGUUACCUUGAUACGGUAAACAUGUUUAUAACCUUUAUUA
rnacentral:tRNA from 1 species